GAGGAAAAGAAACCAACAGGGAUUGCCUCAGUAACGGCGAGUGAAGCGGCAACAGCUCAAAUUUGAAAUCUGGCCUCUCGGGGUCCGAGUUGUAAUUUGUAGAGGAUGUUUCGGGUACCGCCUCGGUUUAAAUUUCUUGGAACAGAAUGUCAGAGAGGGUGAGAAUCCCGUCUUGGACCGGUGGUAGGGCCUAUGUGAAACUCCUUCGACGAGUCGAGUUGUUUGGGAAUGCAGCUCAAAAUGGGUGGUAAAUUUCAUCUAAAGCUAAAUAUUGGCCAGAGACCGAUAGCGCACAAGUAGAGUGAUCGAAAGAUGAAAAGCACUUUGAAAAGAGAGUUAAACAGUAUGUGAAAUUGUUGAAAGGGAAGCGCUUGCAACCAGACUUGAGCGCGGCGGUUCCCCCUUGCUUCUGCUUGGGUUACUCCGCCGUGUCCAGGCCAACAUCGGUUCUGGGGGUCGGUUAAAGGCCCUGGGAAUGUAUCUACCUACGGGUAGACUUAUAGACCAGGGUGUCAUGCGACCUCCCGGGACCGAGGAACGCGCUUCGGCUCGGAUGUUGGCGUAAUGGUUGUCAGCGACCCGUCUUGAAACACGGACCAAGGAGUCUAACAUCUAUGCGAGUGUUUGGGUGUCAAACCCGGAACGCGGAAUGAAAGUGAACGGAGGUAGGAAGCUUCGGCUGCACUAUCGACCGAUCCUGAAGUUUACGGAUGGAUUUGAGUAAGAGCAUAGCUGUUGGGACCCGAAAGAUGGUGAACUAUGCCUGAAUAGGGUGAAGCCAGAGGAAACUCUGGUGGAGGCUCGCAGCGGUUCUGACGUGCAAAUCGAUCGUCAAAUUUAGGUAUAGGGGCGAAAGACUAAUCGAACCAUUAAGGACAGCCACUCGGUGGUUAAGUGUGACCCCGAA
rnacentral:sRNA from 1 species